UGACACUUCUAAGCAUGGAGGGCGGA
rnacentral:piRNA from 1 species